rnacentral:rRNA from 1 species
AUUGAACGCUGGCGGCAUGCCUAACACAUGCAAGUCGAACGAGACCUUCGGGUCUAGUGGCGCACGGGUGCGUAACGCGUGGGAAUCUGCCCUUCGGUUCGGAAUAACAGUGGGAAACUACUGCUAAUACCGGAUAAUGACGUAAGUCCAAAGAUUUAUCGCCGAAGGAUGAGCCCGCGUAGGAUUAGCUAGUUGGUGGGGUAAAGGCCUACCAAGGCGACGAUCCUUAGCUGGUCNGAGAGGAUGAUCAGCCACACUGGGACUGAGACACGGCCCAGACUCCUACGGGAGGCAGCAGUGGGGAAUAUUGGACAAUGGGCGAAAGCCUGAUCCAGCAAUGCCGCGUGAGUGAUGAAGGCCUUAGGGUUGUAAGCUCUUUUACCCGGGAUGNUAAUGACAGUACCGGAGAAUAAGCUCCGCUAACUCCGUGCCAGCAGCCGCCGUAAC